rnacentral:rRNA from 1 species
GACGAACGCUGGCGGCGUGCUUAACACAUGCAAGUCGAACGGAAAGGCCCUGCUUUUGUGGGGUGCUCGAGUGGCGAACGGGUGAGUAACACGUGAGUAACCUGCCCUUGACUUUGGGAUAACUUCAGGAAACUGGGGCUAAUACCGGAUAGGAGCUCCUGCUGCAUGGUGGGGGUUGGAAAGUUUCGGCGGUUGGGGAUGGACUCGCGGCUUAUCAGCUUGUUGGUGGGGUAGUGGCUUACCAAGGCUUUGACGGGUAGCCGGCCUGAGAGGGUGACCGGCCACAUUGGGACUGAGAUACGGCCCAGACUCCUACGGGAGGCAGCAGUGGGGAAUAUUGCACAAUGGGCGGAAGCCUGAUGCAGCAACGCCGCGUGCGGGAUGACGGCCUUCGGGUGGAAAACCGCUUUCGCCUGUGACGAAGCGUGAGUGACGGUAAUGGGUAAAGAAGCACCGGCUAACUACGU